rnacentral:rRNA from 1 species
AACGAACGCUGGCGGCAUGCCUAACACAUGCAAGUCGAACGAGACCUUCGGGUCUAGUGGCGCACGGGUGCGUAACGCGUGGGAACCUGCCCUUAGGUUCGGAAUAACUCCCCGAAAGGGGUGCUAAUACCGGAUAAUGCCUUCGGACCAAAGAUUUAUCGCCUUUGGAUGGGCCCGCGUUGGAUUAGCUAGUUGGUAGGGUAAAAGCCUACCAAGGCGACGAUCCAUAGCUGGUCUGAGAGGAUGAUCAGCCACACUGGGACUGAGACACGGCCCAGACUCCUACGGGAGGCAGCAGUGGGGAAUAUUGGACAAUGGGCGAAAGCCUGAUCCAGCAAUGCCGCGUGAGUGAUGAAGGCCUUAGGGUUGUAAAGCUCUUUUACCCGGGAUGAUAGUGACAGUACCGGGAGAAUAAGCUCCGGCUAACUCCGUG